GGGGUUGAUUGGUUUUGACGGCGGGUAGAAUCGGUAUGUAAGCACGCAGUGGGUUGAAUUGUUACCACUAUAAUCUCAAUGUUCAAAAGAUUUAUCUGGCGAAAAUAAUUACGCUCUUGCUGCUUAAUCGAAGUACAGUAGAUUAGCUUAAUUCAGGCACAAGGUGCCAGAACAAGACAUCGCUCUGACGCUGUUGCUCCGAAGCAAUCAGACUAAGCGGUGCGGUAAUAUCGGAGAUAGUUGCGCUCUGCCUCGAGAGUGUGAUGAAAAUUUAGAGGAUAAGGUAAAAGUUGAUGGCUUUGGUUCUGCUUUUACUCGAAAACUUAGGCAAAGAUAAGCGUGUAGAAAGCAUAUUGCUUCCUCGUUCGGACGAGGGUUCGACUCCCUCCAGCUCCACUU
rnacentral:tmRNA from 1 species